GCCGCGGAAGAUGCUGCGUUCGGUGUGGCUGUGGCUGGGUCUGGGCCUGUGCAGCCUCUUGCUGGGGCAGGCGAAGGCCCCAAGCCCAGUGGAGCCGUCGGAGCGGAGCCGGCCGUAUGCGGUGCUGCGCGGACAGAACCUAGUGUUGAUGGGAACCAUUUUCAGCAUCCUGCUGGUGACCGUCAUCCUUAUGGCAUUUUGUGUCUACAAGCCCAUUCGGCGUCGAUAACAGCCAAGCAAGCAAGUUCCGCCACAAGCUUUUGGGAACAGGAUAAGUUGUGUUGCACAUGGGCCAAUGGAGAAGUUGGAAUCAGAACUUUUCUAUUUGGAAAUGACCUUUGGUCAUUUGUUAAAAGCUAAAUGGUUUAGAAAAAAAAUCUACUAGUGAUUUUUUUUCCCCUAACAUCCUAAUGCAAGUAAUUUGGCUGCUGAGCUGCUUCUUGAUGUUUCUUUUUAUGUCUGACUGUACUUGUAAAAGACCUGAUGCUCCAAGGUUCAGGGCAAAGAUGGAGUAUUCACAAGAAAGAAAACAUAGUAACCCUGUACCCAUAAGAACCACACUGGAAAGGACUACCAUUAAUGCUUGAAAUAGUAGUAAGAGGAAGGCUUAACCUGUAGAGACACUGCCUGCACUAGAGCCAUCUGCUCACAGCAGAUUAAGAAUCACAAUUUUCAUUAUACUGAGUUGACUUAGAAUGCCCUGGUUGCAAAGCAGUGUCCACUGUAGGGAACUUGAGCCUGUGACUCUCUACCUGCAUCCAACUCUGUAUGUGGAUGUCCCCCAAUGAAGUCAGGGUCGCAUCAGGUAGGCCUAUUACUGUAUGCACCCUUGGCAUAGAAAGCUCUGGGAUUGAACUGGAAGUGUUUAGGUGGCCCCUCAGGAAAAGAACUCCAUCCUGUUCAGACACAGUGAUCCCUUUGUUUAGUACUUAAGUCUUUCCAGCCCUAAAACUUGUGUUAGCUUUUCAGAUGGGGAACCGAGACUCAGCAGGAACCCUGUUCAGCCCUGGGUAUGGGGGGGCUCAACCAAGAAGUACAUUUCCACUGUGGGCUGCUGUGUGUUUACAUAAAUUCAAUCUCAGUUUUGAAAAUGCUGAGAUUAGUUAGUUUGCACUGCUGGUAAACUGGAUUUUUUACCCCUAUAGAAAUGAUACUUCCACACUUAUAGACUGGUUAUUAGUAUUUAUUUUAAAGGUGCUAGAUUUAAUUUUGUUAUGAAGUUGAAAUGCUUAUCUUGUGCUUUAUUUAGCACAGCACUGAUAUUUUCUUUUCUCAACAACCUGCACUUAAUGUGAAAUAACUGAUGAGGCAUACUGUAACAAUGUGACCUAAGGACUUUGUUUAACCUUGUAACAUUGAGCCAUUGAGAUGUUCUUCGUUCUGUACUUUUGAGCAAACUGUCAAUUAAAAUGAAAGCCAAACCCUA